CUAGAACUGUGCCUGGCUAAUAGUAGCCAUGCAAUAAAGCACUAUUAUUACCAGCUGCUUUCUGGGUUUAUUAAGGAACUUGCACAAAAUGCUCACAGUUUCUUUAGCAACUUUGAACAAGUACUAGAUACUAACUGGCUUAUGAUUUAUUUUCCUCUUUAACUAGUUAAUAAUCAUUGAUUAGACAAACCAUUUUUCCACUUAUCAUAUUACAGGCUAAGCUCUUUAUAUAUUGUUUUAUUUAAUGCUCUUACGACUUCUGAGGGAAGCAUCAUUUCCUCAAUUUAACAGAGUGGAAAACUCAGAGAGGAGUAUUCCUUUGCUUACUCAAAGUAAGCGGGAGUGCUGAGAUUCGAAACCAGACCUGUUAAUUCUAAGCACGUUGCUCCCUCUACCCUUCCUCUCAGUGAUCAACAGCUUUGCCAGGAACAGGCUCUGCUCAGAUUCCAGCAUCUGCCACAGGGCUCAGAGAUUUUUGUUUACCUUAAGCCCGGGGCUUGGGUAGUAGAGUAGUGAUUUUCCAAUUUUGCUGCACAUUAGAAUCACCUGGAUAGAGGAAACUAAAAAAUCCUAAUACUCAGAUCAUACCCCACACAGAUGAAAUCUCUGGAGAUGAGAGCCAGAAAUGUGUAUUUUUAAAAGAUCCCCAGUUGAUUCCAAUGAACAGCAACUUUAGCAAUCUGCUGUCCUAGGAUCUUGGGGACCCCGACCUCUAGAAUCCCAAGUCAUUUUGGAUAGUUGUAGACCAGUGCAUAUAUCUUCAAAACUACUGGCUGCUGGGGAGAGAAAGAACUGUGCUGAAUCUAACAGGUAUCCCUCCAAUUGGAGUGCAGGCCCAUGAAUUCGUCGUUAAGUUCCCAAGCACUUACUCUCUGUUAAAGCUUUAACACUCUGCUGAAGGUGGCCCUGACUCUAUCAGGCAAAGCCCAGAGGUGUAAGCAACAGCUGUCUGCCAAACAAAGCUGCCCUGGAGUUUGCAUGGCAGACCAUGUCUUUACUACCAUGAGCACCAUAUAUAUGAAGAGGCGUGUGCUUUCACACAUUAUUCACAGCCAUCUGCCCUGCUCUCAUACACAAGUUCCAAAUUCUCCUUUCUUUUACCGACGGUCACCAUGUGGCCUUUGCUGAUGAUUUAUACAUCAUACCCUCCAUUAACCGAUGGGAAAGAUACUCAUGGUAAUUUCCUUCCAUCAAGUCUCAUUCCUUAUAGGCUCCCAAAUAAUUUCACAAAGUAUGGUCUUUUGGUUAAGUUGUUAAUGAAGCGAGCUCUAAUUAACAUUAGGGAUGUCCUUCAUACACACUCUAAGAGAAUGGCAAGAUCUUAAAAAGCUCCAUCAUCAUUAAAUUAGUACAUUAUUAUCGCAGCAGCCUAUGUGUGCUCUAACUUUUGAUUUAAAAAUUAUCAUGGUGGGUUGAUAUGUUGUGUUUAUCUUCCGCUAAUUGAACGCUACCUUGCAUUUAAUCACGGUAAAUUGGCCUUCCCUGUAAAUAGAUGUAAGGAAUUUUAGCGCUUGUUAAAUCUCAGUAGCUCUGGGAGUGAUGGGAAAGAAUGGGGAGGAGACUAUGGAGGAGGACUGGGACCUACCUGGCACCAUUAGCCUCCACUGUGCAGGGUUUGCUUCAGAGGGUUGAGUUGCAGCUCUCUUCAGGUGUCAGCGAUGCAGCUAAAUGGCCAGGUUUUUGGUUCUGGGUUGGGUACACCCAGGAAAUCUAGAAAAAGGUAGUAAUGGCCCCAACCACACACAGAUAAAUCCCUUUUUGAAAUAGAGCAAUAAAUAAAAGGGCUCAGGGAGAUGCCAAACUUCAGAGUCACUCUUGUCAGUGUCUCUGCAGGAGCUGCCAGCUUGGAGAGCCUGCUGUGAAUUUGGCGGUGACAGGAAAUGAACAGCGUUAAAGCUCCUCGAGGGCAGGAACCACACACUGUCCUUUGCAGUAGACUGAAGACACACAGCCUUUCAACACCUGUCUCAAUAAUUCAUGUGCAGAAAGUUCGAACUGAAGUGAGCUUUGAGGGAAGAAUAGGACUCAAGUGGAGACAGAGUGUUCCAGGAAAGGGGAGCAGCAUGAGCAGGAUCUUGAUGUAGAACCUGUGUGUCAUGUCUGGGGAGAGGACAUACACAGAAAGGACAGAGACCCAGAAUUGCAGGACUUCUCUGCGCCUCUUCCAGGAUGCGAGUGCGGCAUAUCGAGGAAAGGGAAGCCUGCUUAGAAACAGGACCAACAACAGAAGG